UUCAGAACAGGGAAUGCUGGGCAGCCAGUUUUCACAGGAGACAGAAUCGAUAGACUGAAAAUGUAAAGGCUAAGGUUGAUAUUGAGAUGUCUUUUGUGGACCAAACUGGAGUCCGCAAGCUGAUUGAAGGGCUGAUCCAGUACUCCUGGCCGGAAGACAAGGGUCAGAUUGGUGUCCCAUUCCCUUCCAUCACAUACUCUGAGGCUAUGCAAUACUAUAGCAUUGACAAGCCAGACACACGCUUCGAAUGGAAGAUCAUUGUGAUUCAAGUAUUAUAACUCAAGGAUCUUCUCUGCCAAUCUAAUUCUCACUUGUAUCCUGAAAUACUUGUAAGCUUUCACUGUAAUGGCACAUCAUUGACAUCAGUGAAGGAUUCAGAAAUACAGACACUGGUUUCCUCAGAGAUGCUCUGAGCAAGCCAGAAGGAUCUGUAAGGGCUAUCUGUGUGCCUGACUGAGCAUUCUGUGUGGUGGAAGAAGAGGUGAAGCUCUGUUGUUCCUGGGACAUCUUAAAAGAAUUAUAGAAAGAAAAUACGACUACUACUACUGCUACUACUACUACUACUAAUAAUAAUA